UUCAAAUUUCAUGUAGUUUGA
rnacentral:piRNA from 1 species